rnacentral:rRNA from 1 species
GACAGAGGGUGCAAACGUUGCUCGGAAUCACUGGGCGUAAAGGGCGUGUAGGCGGGAGAGAAAGUCGGGCGUGAAAUCCCUAGGCUCAACCUAGGAACUGCACUCGAAACUUCUUUUCUUGAGUACCGGAGAGGAAAGCGGAAUACCUGGUGUAGAGGUGAAAUUCGUAGAUAUCAGGUGGAACACCAGCGGCGAAGGCGGCAUCCUGGCCCUGACCUGACGCUGAGGCGCGAUAGCGUGGGGAGCAAACGGG